rnacentral:rRNA from 1 species
UACGAAGGGGGCUAGCGUUGUUCGGAAUUACUGGGCGUAAAGCGCGUGUAGGCGGGUCUUUAAGUCAGGGGUGAAAUGCCAAGGCUCAACCUUGGAACUGUCUUUGAUACUGGAGAUCUUGAGUCCGGGAGAGGUGAGUGGAAUUGCGAGUGUAGAGGUGAAAUUCGUAGAUAUUCGCAAGAACACCAGUGGCGAAGGCGGCUCACUGGCCCGGAACUGACGCUGAGACGCGAAAGCGUGGGGAGCAAACAGG